rnacentral:rRNA from 1 species
UACGUAGGGGGCAAGCGUUGUCCGGAAUCAUUGGGCGUAAAGAGCGUGUAGGCGGUCCGGUAAGUCGGCUGUGAAAGUCCAGGGCUCAACCCUGGGAUGCCGGUCGAUACUGCCGGACUAGAGUUCGGAAGAGGCGAGUGGAAUUCCCGGUGUAGCGGUGAAAUGCGCAGAUAUCGGGAGGAACACCUAUGGCGAAGGCAGCUCGCUGGGACGUUACUGACGCUGAGACGCGAAAGCGUGGGGGAGCAAACAAGG